rnacentral:rRNA from 1 species
UUGACGGUACCCUACUAGAAAGGAGCCGCUAACUUCGUGCCAGAAGCGUCGGUAAUACGGGGGCUCCAAGCGUUAUCCGGUGUUAUUGGGCGUAAAGAGUCGUGUAGGUGGUUGGGUAAGUUAUCUUUCAAAUAUCUUUGCUUAACAAAGAGGAGGGGGAUAAUACUGCUCGACUAGAAUUUUCUCAAGGGAGAUCGGAACUGAGGGAGGAGUAGUGAAAUGCGUUGAUACCCUCGGGAACACCAGUGGCGUAGGCGGAUCUCUGGGAGAAGAUUGACGCUGAGACACGAAAGCUAGGGGAGCGAAGCAGAUUAGAGACCUGCGUAGUCCUGGCCGUAAACGCAUGCUUGCUAGCUGCAUGAAUCUACCUUCGGGUGGUAUCGUGUGGCGAAGGUAACCCGUUAAGCAAGCCGCCUGGAAAGUACGGCCGCAAGGCUGAAAUCCAAGGGAAUUGGCGGGGAGGCACACAACCAGUGGAACAUGUGGUUUAAUUCGAGACUAACCGAAGAACCUCACCAGGGUUUGACAUGUAGCUGCACGUCUUAAGAAAUUAAGACUCUCUUGAAGGUGCUACACAGGUGCUGCAUGGCUGUCGUCAGCUCGUUCCGUGAGGAGUGCCCUUAAGUGGGACAACGAGCGCAACCCCUAUUACAUGUUAGAAAUGUCAUGUAAGACUGCCUUGCCAUUUGGCGGGGAGGAAGGAGGGGCAGACGUCAAGUCCGCAUGGUCCUUAUGCCCUGGGCUACACACAUGUUACAAUGAGUACGGCAAUGAGUCUGUCGCGAGCACGUAAGUGUAAGCUAAUCUCUUAAAUGUACUCUCAGUGGGGAUUGAGGUCUGCA